GAUGGGAGAUGGCCCAAGGCCGCGCACCAGGUGGGGAUGAUAAGGGGCCGCAAGGCCGGUGCCCGUCGGGGGCGAGGGAAGCCCGGCCCCGCCCCGGGGGUAUUUAAGGCCACUGCCCGGGGGCUGCCCCGGGUCCGGUGCGAUGGCCGAGGAGGCGAUGGCGAGCUACCUGUACGCUGCCUACCACCCCUACUCCUACCGCUUCCCGCCGCCCAAGGGCAAAGGAGGGGCGGCGGGCGGCUGGCGCCCGCGGGGCAGCGGCAGCAGCGGCAGCUACUUCCCGGGCUACGGGGAGGCGGCCGCCGAGUACUUCGACAACUACCAGCGGGCGCAGCUGAAGGCCAUCCUCUCCCAGGUGAACCCCAACCUGACGCCGCGGCUCCGCAAGGCCAACACCAAGGAGGUGGGCGUGCAGGUGAACCCGCGGCAGGACGCCUCGGUGCAGUGCUCGCUCGGGCCCCGCACGCUGCUGCGCCGCCGCCCCGGCCCCGCCGCGCCGCGGCCCCGUGAGGCGGAGCAGGAGCUGGGCAGCCCCGCCACCACCAACACCCGCGCCGUGCGCUUCCCCCGCACCAUCGCCGUCUACUCGCCCGUGGCGUCCCGCAGACUCACCGCCUUGCUGGAGGAGCCGAGCCCGGAGCCGGAGCGGCGGCCGCAGCAGCAGGACAAGGCGGCGGCCGUCGAGCAGGAGCCGGCCGCGCUGUGGGAGCAGCGGGCGGCGGAGGCGGCUGCCGUGCGGGCCAGCUGGGAGAAGCCCCCCGAGGGUGGCGCCGAGCCGCUGGAGCAGCGCCCGGCCGAGCCUCUCGGGCAGCGCUCGCCCGCCCCCCCGGAGCCGGCGACGGAGGCAAGCCAGGAGGAGCCGGCAGAGGUAGCCCAGGCGGAGGCGGCAGAGCCGUCAGUCCAAGCGGAGCCGUCAGCCCAGCCCGCAGAGGCAGCGGAGCCGCCAGCCCAGCCCGCGGAGCCGCCGGCCUCAGCCCAGAAGCAGCAGUCGUCGGCGGGCAAGACCCGCCUGCGCUUCCAGUUUCUGGAGCAGAAGUACGGGUACUACCACUGCAAGGCCUGCAACAUCCGCUGGGAGAGCGCCUACGUCUGGUGCGUCCAGGGCACCAACAAGGUCUAUUUCCGUCAGUUCUGCCGGACCUGCCAGAAGUCCUACAACCCGUACCGCGUGGAGGACAUCACCUGCCAGAGCUGCAAGCAGACGCGGUGCACCUGCCCCGUGAAGAUGCGCCACGUGGAUCCCAAGAGGCCCCACCGCCAGGACCUCUGUGGGAGAUGCAAAGGGAAACGCCUCUCCUGCGAUAGCACGUUCAGCUUCAAAUACAUCAUCUGAAUGGGAUGGGAUUUUUUUGUUUGUUUGUUUUUUGUUUAGGGCUCGUCAAGAAAACUGCAAGUAGAGCAGAUUUGUUUUGUUGUUGUUUUUGUUGAUAUUGUUGAAGGUACUUGGUGAGAUGUAGCUAGGAAAACAUGAAAAUAAAAGUAUUGCAAAGCAUACUCAAAUGAUCAGGUGGGUUUGUGCUCAGCUUAGAGGGUGCAUAUUGUAAAUUCUGUAACUUGCAUAGGCAACGAGCCUAGAGGUGUAUUGUAAUUCAGUGAUGGCCUUGGAAGCAACUGACUCAGGACUUUGUAGACUCUCAGGUGGAAAGGGUUUCUGUUACUGCUCCUGCUCUUGAACUAAUCAAAUUCUUGAAGUUAACAUCAAAUGGAUGUCUGCGUAGAUAGUAGACCAUCCUUUAUGAUUAACAAAACACCAGUAGUAUUCACUUAUUUUGCACACCUCUAGUCAACUUACAAACUAUCCUGCACCUGUUCUUCAUCACUAGGAAAUUAUUGAGAAAUGCAGUGUAAGUACUGAAUCACUUCUACUGGUACAGCUGGCCUGCAUUUGGCUAAGUUGGUGUUCUUGUCUGUAGGUAAAAGACAAAGAAGGCUUUGCAGGGAUGCUCUCACAAAAUGCUGAGGAACAGAGUCACUGCUGUUAUGGCGAUGGUCUCUUGGUAAAUGUGUUGCUCAUCUUACUUGCACAAGGUUAUGGAGGGAAGUGACACUUCAGAGGAGCAAGGUGCAGUAACACUGCAUCUGCUUGGCUUCACUUUUAACUUGCAGGUGAAGUGCAAGAGCUGUGCACUUGGUGGAUUAUACUUGAAGAGUUUGAUCCAAUUACAGUUUAGAUGCCUACCAUCAGAAGGAUUGACACUCCCACACUCCUCUGGGGUUGGGCUUGCAGCUAGGAAUUGUACUUGUCCUGUUUGGUAGGAAUGGCAGAACCAGCACUGGUGAUGUGCAGAUGAUGCUCUCUGUGGGCUAUUGGUGCUCUCUAUAGCAACACCAUGCUUCAGCCAAGUGUUACAAGGUGACUGACUUACAGCAUUCCCAUCUGAGCAGUUCACAAGCUAGUAAAACCUGCACCACUGCCCCAGUCUACCUUUUAGCUGUAGAGCUGAAAAAACUUAGAUGAAAACCUAUUCUUCUGAGAAUGCUACUGGCACUGUUAAUUUUUAGAUUGAGCGUAGUCACCAAACCUUUUGCAGAACUCUGAGGUAACUUCUCUUUUGAAAGAGUGAUUUUUAUAUUUGCUAUAGCAAACUUACCUAC